rnacentral:rRNA from 1 species
CAGUAGCCGCGGUAAUACGUAGGGUGCGAGCGUUAAUCGGAAUUACUGGGCGUAAAGCGUGCGCAGUCGGUUGUGUAAGACAGGUGUGAAAUCCCCGGGCUUAACCUGGGAACUGCGCUUGUGACUGCACAGCUAGAGUAUGGCAGAGGGGGGCGGAAUUCCACGUGUAGCAGUGAAAUGCGUAGAGAUGUGGAGGAACACCGAUGGCGAAGGCAGCCCCCUGGGCCAAUACUGACGCUCAUGCACGAAAGCGUGGGGAGCGAACAGGAUUAGAUACCCGAGUAGUCCCUGUCUCUUAUAA